rnacentral:rRNA from 1 species
GAUGAACGCUGGCGGCGUGCCUAAUACAUGCAAGUCGAGCGAACGGACGAGAAGCUUGCUUUUCUGAUGUUAGCGGCGGACGGGUGAGUAACACGUGGAUAACCUACCUAUAAGACGGGGAUAACGUCGGGAAACCGGAGCUAAUACCGGAUAAUAUUUUGAACCGCAUGGUUCAAAAGUGAAAGACGGUCUUGCUGUCACUUAUAGAUGGAUCCGCGCUGCAUUAGCUAGUUGGUAAGGUAACGGCUUACCAAGGCAACGAUGCAUAGCCGACCUGAGAGGAUGAUCGGCCACACUGGAACUGAGACACGGUCCAGACUCCUACGGGAGGCAGCAGUAGGGAAUCUUCCGCAAAGGGCGAAAGCCUGACGGAGCAACGCCGCGUGAGUGAUGAAGGUCUUCGGGUCGUAAAACUCUGUUAUUAGGGAAGAACAUAUGUGUAAGUAACUGUGCACAUCUUGACGGUACCUAAUCAGAAAGCCCCGGCUAACUACGUG